GAGAAGGGAAACCAACUAUCCAAUGGACGGACUCUGGCCGGCCCCCAAAGGGAUCUUCCCUCACGACCCACCGGGCAGGAAAGGAGCAUGCCCCGUUCCCCACUCACCCACCCCUUUUAUUUGCUGAUCCCGCUCUCCACACAGAUGUUGACAUCUGCGUCAGAAUUCAACACGGGGCCAGUCAUUGGGAAGAAGGCUACGCCCAUCUGUGCGUGGCACACGUUGUAGAAAGGUUAUUUGGAAAGAUGUGCUGUACAUCCCACAAGAGAGUGACUUGAGAGGAAAAGUAUUUUUUUCUAGUUGUUUUUUGGGUUGCCUCUCUCCCCAACUAUUACCCCCUCCGAUACUACAUGGAAAUUCAUUUGGAGUCUUCCUUUCCCUCUCCAUCCCUCUACAGAGCAAAAGCAGAGUUUGCAACACAUUUUCAUUUCCAAAGGAUACAAUAGUGGAGGGGUGCCUGGGCAAGGAGCUCUCAGGCCUGGGAGAAACCAGCUUGUUUGCGGUGUUUCUGUGCGCCGUCACCGGCAGUCAGAAGGCUCAGGUGAGAGGACCAGCUGUUCACUGUGGACAAGGGAUAUAUUGCCUCUGAAGUGCAUGUUACUCUCCUGUAAAUUGGGAAGGCUCGCCAGGAGAGAGGGAAGUUUCCGUGAGAUGACUCCUGGAGGCUUGUUUCAGAGAUGCUCUCCGUGUGAGGUUGUUGUGAGGAACCUGGCAGGCAUGUGCCCCUUCAUCUUCGGGGCUUUCUCGCUCCUCUCACUGCCGACUAUGCCCAGAUAUGCCCAUGGAAGAGACAUAUUGGUCCCCAAGACAAUUACGUCUCUAAACCAAGAUUCAAAGGGAUGAGCAAAGGGGAAAACAAGCCUUUCAAGUCACAGUGAGAAACUGAGGCUCCAGGAUGUGACAGAUCAGCAUUUCCCUGUUCAGGCAGAUAAGGAAUCAGUUUUCACAGGAAAAAAUUUGAAGACAUCACCAAAGCCUCAUGUGGUUAAAAACAGAAACGAGGGAGCUGAAGACACGAGCUACCUGGCUGAAGGUUGGCGAUGGGUGGAGGGCAGAGGAGAAGCAGGGCUUUCCACCUCCUGCCUGCUCGCAGCGGUCUGCAAAGCUCCUGAGUGAGGCUAGGUAGUUUCCAUUCGCCCCUGCAAAUCCACUUUCCACCUGGGUCUCUGUGGGCCCGGGAGCCUGGUCUUUGUGGACCCCAUCAACCCUGCGGCUUCUACUUGGGUUCGGCCAACGGGAAGCACCCUCCAGAGAUGCGAGGGCAAAAGAGCGGUCAGGGUCUUUGUUCCCUGCUCCCUCCUUCGAGGCCACAGGUUGGCAGUGGGUGUUCCUCCACCAAAGGUCUCAAUUCUCAUCAGACAGCUUUCUGCUUAAGCCACAGCACAGCUCUGGCUCUCUCUAAGGACACUGUUACCAGUCCCUACCAUCCCCUGUUUGUGUCCCUUAACUCCAUUUGCACCUUUGUUAAUAGUCCCUUCAUUAAACUCGUCUCAAC
rnacentral:lncRNA from 1 species